GCAUCUUCUGAGGAAGAAAGGAUUUAUUCGGUACAGGAUGGGCCCGCAUCUGAUUAGCUAGUUGGUGAGAUAACAGCCCACCAAGGCGACGAUCAGUAGCCGACCUGAGAGGGUGAUCGGCCACAUUGGGACUGAGACACGGCCCAAACUCCUACGGGAGGCAGCAGUGGGGAAUAUUGCACAAUGGGCGAAAGCCUGAUGCAGCAACGCCGCGUGAAGGAUGAAGGGUUUCGGCUCGUAAACUUCUAUCAAUAGGGAAGAGACAAAUGACGGUACCUAAAUAAGAAGCCCCGGCUAACUACGUGCCAGCAGCCGCGGUAAUACGUAGGGGGCAAGCGUUAUCCGGAAUUACUGGGUGUAAAGGGAGCGUAGGCGGCAUGGUAAGCCAGAUGUGAAAGCCUUGGGCUUAACCCGAGGAUUGCAUUUGGAACUAUCAAGCUAGAGUACAGGAGAGGAAAGCGGAAUUCCUAGUGUAGCGGUGAAAUGCGUAGAUAUUAGGAAGAACACCAGUGGCGAAGGCGGCUUUCUGGACUGAAACUGACGCUGAGGCUCGAAAGCGUGGGGAGCAAACAGGAUUAGAUACCCUGGUAGUCCACGCCGUAAACGAUGAGUGCUAGGUGUCGGGGAGGAAUCCUCGGUGCCG
rnacentral:rRNA from 1 species